rnacentral:tRNA from 1 species
ACAACGUUUCUCCUGGUAUGCAGCCUAUCAACCGCUGACUCUUAAUCAGCGGGUCGGGGGUUCGAAACCCUCACGGCGCA